rnacentral:rRNA from 1 species
AUUGAACGCUGGCGGCAUGCCUUACACAUGCAAGUCGAACGGUAACGGGCCUUCGGGCGCCGACGAGUGGCGAACGGGUGAGUAAUGCAUCGGAACGUGCCCAGUAGUGGGGGAUAGCCCGGCGAAAGCCGGAUUAAUACCGCAUGAGACCUGAGGGUGAAAGCGGGGGAUCGCAAGACCUCGCGCUACUGGAGCGGCCGAUGUCAGAUUAGCUAGUUGGUGGGGUAAAGGCCUACCAAGGCAACGAUCUGUAGUUGGUCUGAGAGGACGACCAGCCACACUGGGACUGAGACACGGCCCAGACUCCUACGGGAGGCAGCAGUGGGGAAUUUUGGACAAUGGGCGCAAGCCUGAUCCAGCAAUGCCGCGUGCAGGAAGAAGGCCUUCGGGUUGUAAACUGCUUUUGUCAGGGAAGAAAUCUUCUGGGUUAAUACCUCGGGAGGAUGACGUACCUGAAGAU